GCCGGUAUGGUGAAAUUGGUAUACACGACGGAUUCACCUUCGGGCGUGGCGGUUCAAGUCCGCCUACCGGUA
rnacentral:tRNA from 1 species